CAGCCGCCACGGUAAUACGUAGGUGGCAAGCGUUGUCCGGAAUUACUGGGCGUAAAGCGUGCGUAGGCGGUGAGUUAAGUCUGCUGUGAAAUCCCCGGGCUCAACCUGGGAAUGGCAGUGGAUACUGGCUCGCUAGAGUGUGUCAGAGGAUGGUGGAAUUCCCGGUGUAGCGGUGAAAUGCGUAGAGAUCGGGAGGAACAUCAGUGGCGAAGGCGGCCAUCUGGGACAACACUGACGCUGAGGCACGAAAGCGUGGGGAGCAAACAGGAUUAGAUACCCCGGUAGUCCCUGUCUCUUAUAA
rnacentral:rRNA from 1 species